rnacentral:rRNA from 1 species
AGAGUUUGAUCAUGGCUCAGGACGAACGCUGGCGGCGUGCCUAAUACAUGCAAGUCGAACGAGGUGCUUUUGUAGCAAUACGAAAGUAUCCUAGUGGCGAACGGGUGAGUAACACGUUGGUGACCUGCCCCAAAGUGUGGGAUAACAGUCCGAAAGGAUUGCUAAUACCGCAUGUGGUCUUCGGGUUUAGAAACCGAUGACUAAAGCAGUAAUGCGCUUUGGGAGGGACCUGCGUCCCAUCAGCUAGUUGGUGAGGUAACGGCCCACCAAGGCUACGACGGGUAGGGGACCUGAGAGGGUGGCCCCCCACAAUGGAACUGAAACACGGUCCAUACACCUACGGGUGGCAGCAGUAGGGAAUAUUGCUCAAUGGGCGAAAGCCUGAAGCAGCAACGCCGCGUGUGCGAAGAAGGCCUUCGGGUCGUAAAGCACUUUUCUGAGAGAUGAGAAAGGACAGUAUCUCAGGAAUAAGUCUCGGCUAACUACGUGCCAGCCGCCGCGGUAAUAC